GGUUGUAGGAACAGCUGUUAUUGUCACUAUUGGAGCUGUAUUUGUUGUUGUAGAAGCUGUGGUUGUAAGAACAGCUUUUAUGCAGCUGUUCUUGUUGUAGUUGCUGCUGCUGUUGUAUUUGGCGUUGUUGCUGUUGUUGUCGGAGCCGUAGUUUUAGGGACAACUUUUUAUUGUAGCUCUUGUCGUUGUUGUUGUUGUCGUUGUAUUUGUUGUAGUUUGCUGCUGUUGUCGAAGAUGUGGUUGUAGAAACAGACGUUAUCGAUGCUGUUGUAGUUGUUACUGCUACUGUUGUCGUCGUUGUUGUUGUUGUUUUUGUUGUUGUUUUUGUUGUUUUUGUCGUUGUCGUUGUUGUUGAUGUUGUUGUUGUUUUUGUUGUUGUUGUUCGCCUUCGUUAAGCUUCUGCGUGAAUUUUAUUGUACAAUGAACAAAGAUUUUUAUUGCAACCUUUUCUGGGGAGUUGUUAUCACUGUUAUCUGGA